rnacentral:rRNA from 1 species
UGAGUAAUGCCUAAGAAUCUGCCUGGUAGUGGGGGAUAACGUCCGGAAACGGGCGCUAAUACCGCAUACGUCCUGAGGGAGAAAGUGGGGGAUCUUCGGACCUCACGCUAUCAGAUGAGCCUAGGUCGGAUUAGCUAGUUGGUGGGGUAAAGGCCUACCAAGGCGACGAUCCGUAACUGGUCUGAGAGGAUGAUCAGUCACACUGGAACUGAGACACGGUCCAGACUCCUACGGGAGGCAGCAGUGGGGAAUAUUGGACAAUGGGCGAAAGCCUGAUCCAGCCAUGCCGCGUGUGUGAAGAAGGUCUUCGGAUUGUAAAGCACUUUAAGUUGGGAGGAAGGGCAGUAAGUUAAUACCUUGCUGUUUUGACGUUACCAACAGAAUAAGCACCGGCUAACUUCGUGCCAGCAGCCGCGGUAAUACGAAGGGUGCAAGCGUUAAUCGGAAUUACUGGGCGUAAAGCGCGCGUAGGUGGUUCAGCAAGUUGGAUGUGAAAUCCCCGGGCUCAACCUGGGAACUGCAUCCAAAACUACUGAGCUAGAGUACGGUAGAGGGUGGUGGAAUUUCCUGUGUAGCGGUGAAAUGCGUAGAUAUAGGAAGGAACACCAGUGGCGAAGGCGACCACCUGGACUGAUACUGACACUGAGGUGCGAAAGCGUGGGGAGCAAACAGGAUUAGAUAUCCUGGUAGUCCACGCCGUAAACG